GUGUUAUUUCGAAAAUUUCAGUCCCAUCUGACUACUUUAAAGGCGAUAAAUGUUGAAUUAUUGACAUUUGAUGAUUUAUUCACACAUGGAAGUAAGUACUGAGUUCUUCGUCGUAUUAAUUAUUACACUAGAGAACAAUAAUUUCCCGCACGAAGAUGUUAUUCGCCACCUCUGAGUGUUUUGAAUUAAUAGAAGAUAUGCAGGAGUUGGAAAGGAAACACUGAGUUUCCUCUCUCGUUUCCUCUGAGGCCGUCUUCACUCUUGGUAUGCUUCAUUUUGCCUUGGUAAUAUCAAUACGCAUGUAUUAUAUCACGCAUUGCGAGCAGAAUUUCUACAUGAAUUCGUAGCCUUAUUGAUGCGAUGUCACAUGCCGUACAACGUAAUAACAGUCGCCGUCGAUUUUGCCCGUAUACUCUGGAUGCCCCUGAUACGUUGGGAAUGAGGUUUUUCAUCAGGUCGACGGUCGCUGUAACAAUCGGAAUGUACACCUGCACGAGAUUCAUGGUAUUUAGUUGGCUGAAUUUAAAAAUUUUGGGUCGAGCUUAUAUCCAAAUUGGUUCAGAUAUUUACUAUUCUCGACUAACCCGUUUUUUUUGAUAUGCGAUGUCAUCAGUAGCAGCAGCGAACUCGCACGCACGAUUGUCGCACUCGUUUCGAUAAAUUUCAGUGCAGUAUAUUUCAUAUGGCUUCAUAAUAUCAUUUAACACUUAACAAGCAUAUGGGCCGUUGAUUUUGUAAAAGAUUUCACCCUCCAUGCAAGGCUGAUAUGUUACAAGCUUGCCGUGUUGGUGGAAUUCGUUUAUUUUCUCAUUGGCAAGCAUUUCAACGACUUUUUGUGGAAUGACGAAUACGUUUCUCAACUUCCGUAUGUGCGCGCUUACGGCUUACAGCCUUCUCCUUUCAUAUACGGGCGUCCUUCGAAAGAUUCUGCCACCUUCGGAAAACUGUUGAAUCGCGCCGCGAGCAUGUUCGUCGACCUUACAAAAAAAGUUCAAAACCAGCAAA